AUGGAUGCCCGGCUGCUAGCGCUGGUCUGCUCAGGCACUUUCCAGGAUCUCGAAUCAUUCCUCGACGGACAAGACCAGCAAGCAGCUGCCGCCGUCGGAGGCUCCGCGACACGGCGGCCUCCCGGUGACGACGAGGAAGCAUUUCUCAGAGAGUCGCUGCUGGACGGGGUCACCGUCGGAGGCGACACUGUUCUCCAUGUGGUCGCCACCAAUGGUGACUCUCAAGACUUCCUGAAGAAAGCCAGCCUCGUCCACACCAAGGCACGGAGCCUCCUCUAUGUGCAGAACAAUGACGGAGAUACGCCCCUGCAUUGUGCUGCACGGGAGGGGAGCUUCGCCAUGGCGUCUCGUCUCAUUGAUCUUGCCAGAGGAGGCGAUGAUGCCAAUGCCAACAGAGUGAAGGCGCUGCUGAGAACAGAAAACAAGAUCAAAUGGACAGCCUUGCAUGAGGCUAUCAAGUCAGUCCCCGUUGGGCACAAUGAUAUCGUCGAGUUGCUCAUGAAGGAGGACUCGCAGUUGGCCAGCUUUCCUAAAGAUGGCACGUCGCCAUUGUACCUGGCCAUCUUGGAGGGGAGAAGUUUCACCGCGGAAACACUGUAUGAGUUGAGCAGCGGGGUGCUCUCAUACUCUGGACCAAAUGGACAAAAUGCGCUGCAUGCUGCCGUUCUUCGAGGCAAAGUUGAUAAAAAGAAAAUAUCGACAGUUAGUUAUGCUUGCAAGAAUGCAACAUUAUCAUGGAUUUUGAAUAUGCAAGACAAGAAUGGGAACACUGCACUGCACCUAGCUGUCAAGGCUGGCAGUGUUAAAAUAUUUUGUUGUCUGUUCAGGAAUAGACAAGUACAAUUGAAUUUGACAAAUAAGAAAGGGGAGACUCCACUAGAUAUAGCGUAUCAAAAUAUUCCUAAAGGCCUGCAUGCUUACAUGCACAGUGAAGCAAGAAUACUCUCUUUACUUCAAUAUGCUGGUGCUAAAAGGGGUAUCCGUCACCUGCAGGAUUACCUUGAACAAAGCAAUAUUGUCCAAAAAAAGCAGGGUGAAAUAGAUGAAAUGGAGAAAGUGAAGGACGCGACACAAAGUCUAUGCAUUGGGUCGGUCCUUAUCGCAACCGUGACAUUUGGUGCAGCUUUUGCCAUGCCUGGAGGUUACAGAGCCGAUGAUCACACUAAUGGAGGGACACCAACACUCGCUGGAAGUUACAAGCUUGGUUGCUGCCUUUGCACUGGCUACCUAUACCAUACUAGCUCUGCUUGCUCAUAA
rnacentral:rRNA from 1 species